rnacentral:misc_RNA from 1 species
UUCUUUUUUUUUUUUUUUCUUCUUCCACCAUUCCCCUAUUAAUUUCUUACUUUCCUCCUUAGAUGUUUAAAUUGUUGUAAAACUGUGGAACAUGUUAAUAAUCCGAGCUUCCCAAAAUCUUAUUGUGAAUAUUCAGCCUGACAGAAAUUAAGAAUGGGUAUUAUGCUGAUCUUUAGCUUGAUGAGUUAAAGUUCCGUGAUAACUGAUUGAAUUAGUGCCUUUUGUGGAAAAUUGUAAGAAUUUUUGAGUUGUUAUUUCGCUAUGGGAUUUCUCAUUGCAGAAAAUUAAUAGCAAUAAAAUUAGAACUACAUAAUCGGAGAAAAUGCCUUUCAGAUAAUUAAUUUGCAUUAAAUAACUUCGG